GACGAACGCUGGCGGCGUGCUUAACACAUGCAAGUCGAACGGAAAGGCCCUGCUUUUGUGGGGUGCUCGAGUGGCGAACGGGUGAGUAACACGUGAGUAACCUGCCCUUGACUUUGGGAUAACUUCAGGGAACUGGGGCUAAUACCGGAUAGGAGCUCCUGCUGCAUGGUGGGGGUUGGAAAGUUUCGGCGGUUGGGGAUGGACUCGCGGCUUAUCAGCUUGUUGGUGGGGUAGUGGCUUACCAAGGCUUUGACGAGUAGCCGGCCUGAGAGGGUGACCGGCCACAUUGGGACUGAGAUACGGCCCAGACUCCUACGGGAGGCAGCAGUGGGGAAUAUUGCACAAUGGGCGGAAGCCUGAUGCAGCAACGCCGCGUGCGGGAUGACGGCCUUCGGGUUGUAAACCGCUUUCGCCUGUGACGAAGCGUGAGUGACGGUAAUGGGUAAAGAAGCACCGGCUAACUACGUG
rnacentral:rRNA from 1 species